rnacentral:sRNA from 1 species
AAGAAGAUCUCGUAUGAUUAUGUUCUAAUAAAAAAACAUAUAUUUCAAUUUGUUAAUACUCACUGUUUCAUACGUGAUAGCAACAUAUUUCAUCAUAUGUCUUCACUGUGUUUCAAAAAAAAGUUUAAAUAUUCGUUAUAACUAAAUCUUCACAACAAAAUCUCGCCUGAUUAUGUUCUGAUAAAAAAAAGCAUAUGUUUCAGUUUGUUAAUACUCAUUGUUUCAUAUGUGAUAGCAACAUGUUUCAACAUAUGUCUUCACUGUGUUUCAAAAAAAAGUUUAAAUGUUGCUGUGACUGAUUUUUUUUACUAUAUAUAACUUAAUGUUUCACUGGUAGUUAACUGUAACAUAACAUUUGACUGAUGGAGUUUUUUUUUCCCCUACUCUCCCUCCUCUCUAUCCAUGCAUGGAUGCAUGAAUUCAAAAUGAAUUUUCUCCUAAACUACUUAUCUAAUAUACUAUCCGAUAACACUCUUAUAUUCGUUGUAAUUAAAUCUUCACGACAAGAUAUGGCGUGAUUAUGUUCUGAUGUAAAAAAACAUAUGUUUUAGUCCGUUAAUACUUAAUGUUUCAUAGCAACAUGUUAAUUUCAAUGUGUGUUUUAGCUGUGUUUAAAAAAAAUAAAUGUUCUAGUGACUGUUUUUUCAUUUCACCGUAUAUAACUUAAUGUUUCACUGGUGGUCAACCGCCGUAUUUGACAAUAUUUGACUAAUGUUUCACUGGUGGUCAACCGCCGUAUUUGACAAUAUUUGACUUACCGAUUUUUUUGAGAGGGUCGGACGCCCGAUUUGGAAGUACCUCCCUCGUUGGGUAGUGCUAGCCGGUUUUUGAACCGGUGCUAAUAGCACGAUUCUGCAUUUGUGUGACACCUCAUUUUCUCUAGUGCCACUUUAGGUGUUUAUCCUAUCUGGUAAGCUAUAUUUAUUGUCACGGAACAUUGGGAAUACCCUAAAAUCACACACACACACACACAGCAUAUCUUUUAUUUGUGCCAUGGUCACUUUUGUUGACGGAAUUUCCCACAUAUCUGUGGAUUGUUUCUCUGCAUGUCGAUCGAAAUAUGAGUCUAGAUCAACUCUCAAGUGAUGGGGGUAAUUACUAUCCGCAGUAGUUAGCUUUUAAUGAUGGGGUAAUUGCUAUCAGCAGUAUGCCAUAUGAUAGGAACGGGGUUGCGGGUAUAAUAAUUAAUUUCGCAUCAUGAAUUAUAUAUAUGGCCUUGUCAAGUUGUCAUCUUCAAGACUUCAAUUACAUAUAAUAAGAGUCACUUCAAUAAGUACCUGUCCGUCAAAGUAUAUUAAGGACUAGAUGAGCUUGAAGAAAAAGUAAAGAAUUUAGAUUGGUAUAAGAUUAAUUUUUACGAGUACCAUUCGGUUUGUAGAAAGAAAGUAUACGAA